rnacentral:lncRNA from 1 species
CGCGGCCAGUUCUUGAGGAAUUGUUUGUCUUCUUCGAGACGGUUUCGAUGAUGAUCGAUGGGGAGUGACAGAGGUUGGGCUUUACCUUGACAAGCAGUGAUGUCUUCUUCAGGUGGUUCUGUGGGACGCCGUACUUCAGGUAGGCCUGUGGGAGUUAGUGCCAUGGAUGAGAGAUGUAGCAUGAGUAGACAGAACACAGCAGGAAAUUAAUUUGUACUGAUUGCAGAGAAUUCAUAAUUGUAAUGCGAGGAAACACAUUACAUGCAUCAGCAAUGCAUUGUGUAUGUUGAUCCAGAAAGCGAGCUUCUCCUCGUUCGUCAUCCGCCGCAGAUCAACAGUCUCCAACCGGUACAGAAUCAACCUGAAACUCCAAUGUGCAAUACAAUUCAACACAAGUUACAGUACUGAACAGAAAGAACUGAAUUUUCUUUCAACAAUUUCAGUGCAUAAAAAGUUAAAAACUGUAAUAAGAACUACUCACUUGUAUGUCUGGAGCAGAUCUUCAGCUUCUCUAAGCCUUCGCCGGUCGCGGGAGAUCGCCGGCACCUCAACCAUGGUGUUGUAGGGCCCACUGAACUCCUUGAGGCCCUCGACAUGGAACGGGUUGAUCAGCCGGGAGUCGAG